CCUGGGGUAGCUUAAGUGGAUAAAGCGUCGGACUUUUAAUCUGAAGAUGUUGCAGAGACUCCCGGGG
rnacentral:tRNA from 1 species